CACAGUCCAAAUGAAAUUUCUUACUGUACGUAAGCCAGGAAAUGUAAAAAGAAAAUUAACUUUAUGGAAAUAUACUUUCCAUUUCAUUCCUCUUCACUGUUAAUCAUGAUUUCAAAAAAAUGUAUAUAACCAACUGGACAAUCACUUGUUCUGUGCAGAAAUUGAGACUGCAGCAUGUUAUGGACAAGGUCAUCUGAUUUAUUAUCAAAGCAUUGUACCUUUGGGAACUAAAGUUCAAUAUAUCUACUCAUUCUAUGAGAUCUGAGGCUGGUUGAGCCAGAUUCAGGUGUACAAUUUUUUAUUCAAAAGUGUGUGUGUGUGUGUGUGUGUGUGUGUGUGUGUGUGUGUGUGUGUGUGUGUGUGU